CGUGAUGCCUGAGUUCUUUACUCUUAGGCCAUGAUCCUGUCACCUUAGGUCGAUCGGUACCUCAAGUUUUUCGGAUAAAAUGCACUGCUUUUGCAGUUUUGAUUGUUCGAUUAACUUCAGUUCCUAAACUUUGUCUAGGUCACACCUAACAAGGGUACUCCUGGGCCAUUAGCUCAGGUGGUUAGAGCGCACCCCUGAUAAGGGUGAGGUCCCUGGUUCAAGUCCAGGAUGGCCCAUUCGAUGUUGGGGGUAUAGCUCAGUUGGUAGAGCGCCUGCUUUGCAAGCAGGAUGUCAGCGGUUCGAGUCCGCUUACCUCCACUGAUCAAGCCCCUUAUAAAGAAUUGGAAGGAGAUUCCUUUCCAUAGAUGUGACUUAGAUCCGUUUUAUAUGAAUGAACCUAGCUUCCUAUCACUCCUUUUUUGAACUAAAUCUUUCAGAUUAGGCUGAUAAGACGCUGGGCUCACUGCGAUUUAGAAACUCGCAGAGACGUUCAGUAGAACCUUGACAACUGCAUAGGUGAGUCUGGAAAGAAUAAAGCAUCUCAUGGAUGAAGGAUUAUUCUUAAAAGAAAUAUUCAAUUUGGGUAUCUUCUUUGAAGAUUAAUUCUUAGAUUCUUGAGCAAGAGCCGAGACUCUAUAUCG
rnacentral:tRNA from 1 species